AAGAGGGUGGCCGUGAUAAAUUUAUAAACAUUAAAUAAAAUAAUAAGAACAGACCCAAUAAGGGGUUCCGUAACAGAAAACUUCUUCUUUUGAGGUGUCGACGUAUAUUGCUGGUUUUUUCAUGCGCCGACGCACGACUGCCAAUAAAAGUUUACGAGCGUGUCAGCGCCAUCUCGUAGCGGAGAUUGGAAACCACGGCAAAUCCUCUGCGACAUCCAGUCAGCUUUCAACAUAGAUUUAAAUAAUACAGAAGAUACGCAUCAAAGCUUGGAAAUGAAGACUGGUAUCGCGCGCGGUGAACGCUCAGGCUUGUCGUCCACUAAUGUAGACAUUAUCUUUUGUUUCACUCAUACAAGAAAGAUAAACUGUAUAAGUGAGUUUCUUUCAGCAUUUCCUCUCGGCAAUGGUCGUUCCGAAAUGUCAGUAGUUUGUUUGAGAAAUAUUAUUUAAUUUAAAAUUUUGAUAUGAUAAAGUGCCUCUGAAAAGUCUAGUUUCUGCUUAAUUACUUUGACUUUAUCUUUGAAACGCUUAUUAUUAAUACA